rnacentral:rRNA from 1 species
UACGUAGGUGGCGAGCGUUGUCCGGAUUUACUGGGCGUAAAGAGCGCGCAGGCGGUCGUUCAAGUCGGAUGUGAAAGCCCCCGGCUCAACUGGGGAGGGUCAUUCGAUACUGAUCGACUCGAAGGCGGGAGAGGGAAGCGGAAUUCCCGGUGUAGUGGUGAAAUGCGUAGAUAUCGGGAGGAACAGCAGUGGCGAAAACGGCUACCUGGCCCAUUCUUGACGCUGAGGCGCGAAAGCUAGGGGAGCAAACGGG